CUGGCUCAGAUUGAACGCUGGCGGCAGGCCUAACACAUGCAAGUCGAGCGGUAGCACAGAGAGCUUGCUCUCGGGUGACGAGCGGCGGACGCCUGAGUAAUGUCUGGGAAACUGCCUGAUGGAGGGGGAUAACUACUGGAAACGGUAGCUAAUACCGCAUAACGUCGCAAGACCAAAGUGGGGGACCUUCGGGCCUCAUGCCAUCAGAUGUGCCCAGAUGGGAUUAGCUAGUAGGUGGGGUAACGGCUCACCUAGGCGACGAUCCCUAGCUGGUCUGAGAGGAUGACCAGCCACACUGGAACUGAGACACGGUCCAGACUCCUACGGGAGGCAGCAGUGGGGAAUAUUGCACAAUGGGCGCAAGCCUGAUGCAGCCAUGCCGCGUGUGUGAAGAAGGCCUUCGGGUUGUAAAGCACUUUCAGCGGGGAGGAAGGCGUAAGGUUAAUAACCUUGCGAUUGACGUUACCCGCAGAAGAAGCACCGGCUAACUCCGUGCCAGCAGCCGCGGUAAUACGGAGGGUGCAAGCGUUAAUCGGAAUUACUGGGCGUAAAGCGCACGCAGGCGGUCUGUCAAGUCGGAUGUGAAAUCCCCGGGCUCAACCUGGGAACUGCAUUCGAAACUGGCAGGCUAGAGUCUUGUAGAGGGGGGUAGAAUUCCAGGUGUAGCGGUGAAAUGCGUAGAGAUCUGGAGGAAUACCGGUGGCGAAGGCGGCCCCCUGGACAAAGACUGACGCUCAGGUGCGAAAGCGUGGGGAGCAAACAGGAUUAGAUACCCUGGUAGUCCACGCCGUAAACGAUGUCGAUUUGGAGGUUGUGCCCUUGAGGCGUGGCUUCCGGAGCUAACGCGUUAAAUCGACCGCCUGGGGAGUACGGCCGCAAGGUUAAAACUCAAAUGAAUUGACGGGGGCCCGCACAAGCGGUGGAGCAUGUGGUUUAAUUCGAUGCAACGCGAAGAACCUUACCUGGUCUGACAUCCACAGAACUUUCCAGAGAUGGAUUGGUGCCUUCGGGAACUGUGAGACAGGUGCUGCAUGGCUGUCGUCAGCUCGUGUUGUGAAAUGUUGGGUUAAGUCCCGCAACGAGCGCAACCCUUAUCCUUUGUUGCCAGCGGUUCGGCCGGGAACUCAAAGGAGACUGCCAGUGAUAAACUGGAGGAAGGUGGGGAUGACGUCAAGUCAUCAUGGCCCUUACGACCAGGGCUACACACGUGCUACAAUGGCAUAUACAAAGAGAAGCGACCUCGCGAGAGCAAGCGGACCUCAUAAAGUAUGUCGUAGUCCGGAUUGGAGUCUGCAACUCGACUCCAUGAAGUCGGAAUCGCUAGUAAUCGUAGAUCAGAAUGCUANCGGUGAAUACGUUCCCGGGCCUUGUACACACCGCCCGUCACACCAUGGGAGUGGGUUGCAAAAGAAGUAGGUAGCUUAACCUUCGGGAGGGCGCUUACCACUUUAUGAUUCAUGACUGGGGUGAAGUCGUAACAAGGAGCCGUAG
rnacentral:rRNA from 1 species